rnacentral:rRNA from 1 species
GACGAACGCUGGCAGCGUGCUUAACACAUGCAAGUCGAACGGAAAGGCCCUGCUUUUGUGGGGUGCUCGAGUGGCGAACGGGUGAGUAACACGUGAGUAACCUGCCCUUGACUUUGGGAUAACUUAAGGAAACUGGGGCUAAUACCGGAUAGGAGCUCCUGCUGCAUGGUGGGGGUUGGAAAGUUUCGGCUGUUGGGGAUGGAUUCGCGGCUUAUCAGCUUGCUGGUGGGGUAGUGGAUUACCAAGGCUUUGACGGGUAGCCGGCCUGGGAGGGUGACCGGCCACAUUGGGACUGAGAUACGGCCCAGACUCCUACGGGAGGCAGCAGUGGGGAAUAUGGCACAAUGGGCGGAAGCCUGAUGCAGCAACGCCGCGUGCGGGAUGACGGCCUUCUGGUUGUAAACCGCUUUCGCCUGUGACGAAGCGUGAGUGACGGUAAUGGGUAAAGAAGCACCGGCUAACUACGUG